AUACGUAGGGUGCAAGCGUUGUUCGGAUUUAUUGGGCGUAAAGGGUCCGCAGGGGGUCUUUUAAGUCAGAUGUGAAAUCCAACGGCUCAACCGUGGAACUGCAUUUGAAACUGAAAGACUAGAGUACUGGAGAGGUGAGUGGAAUUCCUGGUGGAGCGGUGGAAUGCGUAGAUAUCAGGAGGAACACCGAGAGCGAAGGCAGCUCACUGGACAGUUACUGACCCUCAGGGACGAAAGCAUGGGUAGCAAACAGGAUUAGAAACCCUAGUAGUCC
rnacentral:rRNA from 1 species